rnacentral:rRNA from 1 species
ACACGACUACAUUAGAUACCCCUGUAGUCCUGGCCGUAAACGAUGUGGACUUGGUGUUGGGAUGGCUCCGAGCUGCCCCAGUGCCGAAGGGAAGCUGUUAAGUCCACCGCCUGGGAAGUACGGUCGCAAGACUGAAACUUAAAGGAAUUGGCGGGGAGCACCACAACGGGUGGAGCCUGCGGUUUAAUUGGACUCAACGCCGGGAAGCUCACCGGAUAAGACAGCGGAAUGAUUGCCGGGCUGAAGACUCUGCAUGACUAGCUG